AUGACGUCAUCGUUUUGUGUGUACAUAGCAAGUGUCAACACCGACCGCUACUCGCAUUUCUUAUUAAAAAUGAUGACAAAACAAGUAUACAUAAUUAUCGAAGAAUAGGUCGCUUCAUGAUUAAGGUAUUUUCACAGGCCAAUGCAAGUCCUCCCUGGCGGCGCUACUCGUUUUCAAAUCCUGCUGAUAUGCAACCGCGGAAUGCGAAAAGGGGUCUUAUACCUAAUGCGGCGAGAGUAUCUCCAGACCAGCCUUCGCAGCCAGCCAGGACCAUGUCCGCUAUAAAGUCACUCAAGGUUUCGUAGUCUCGUGUUUUUGGGAUCAAGCUGCUGUUUCUGCUCCACAAAAGAAAACAACUUGAGACAAAAAACAAAACAACAUUCGAAAUGUGGCCGAUAUCUGGCCGAAAAAAAUGGCGACGACACACCGAUGAAAUAAAUAAAAAAGCCGCAACGGUCAAGAUGAAAAGUAACACUUAAUCACUUUAUUACCAACAUAAUAUAUUUUUUAGUUUUAUGUUGUACACAUCUUUCGCAUUGGCAGAUUUCUAAAUAAAAUAUCAUACUAUAUUA